rnacentral:rRNA from 1 species
CGCGUAGGCGGUUUGAUUAGCUGGAUGUGAAAGCCCCGGGCUUAACCUGGGAAUUGCAUCCAGAACUGUCAGGCUAGAGUACAGUAGAGGUGAGUGGAAUUUCCUGUGUAGCGGUGAAAUGCGUAGAUAUAGGAAGGAACAUCAGUGGCGAAGGCGGCUCACUGGACUGAUACUGACGCUGAGGUGCGAAAGCGUGGGGAGCAAACA